rnacentral:rRNA from 1 species
UACGAAGGGUGCAAACGUUGCUCGGAAUUAUUGGGCGUAAAGCGCACGUAGGCGGCUUAGCAAGUCGGAAGUGAAAUCCCUCGGCUCAACCAAGGAAGUGCUUUCGAAACUGCUGAGCUUGAGUACUUAAGAGGAUCGCGGAAUUCCCGGUGUAGAGGUGAAAUUCGUAGAUAUCGGGAGGAACACCAGUGGCGAAGGCGGCGAUCUGGGAAGAUACUGACGCUGAGGAGCGAAAGCCAGGGGAGCAAACGGG